UGAGAGGGUCGGGCAGUUGCUACAGGAAUUGCAUUGAGCAGACUUAAGCUCCUGUAGAGGAAAGUCCGGGCUCCAGAGAGACAAGGUGCCGGGUAACGCCCGGCGAGGGUGACCUUAGGGAAAGUGCAACAGAAAAUAUACCGCUUGGGCUCGUCUCAAGUAAGGGUGAAAUGGUGCGGUAAGAGCGCACCGCACUGGCGGUAACGUUAGUGGCAGUGUAAACCCCACCUGGUGCAAGAUCAAAUAGGCGUAUGGCGCUGCAACCAGCAGCAGGCAAGUCUCUCAGCCACAUACGCGGGUAGAUCGCUAAAGGUCCAUAGCAAUAUGUACCUCAGAUGAAUAGCUGCCGGCCUGAAAAUGGCCACAGAACCCGGCUUACAGAUCCUCUCAGUUA
rnacentral:RNase_P_RNA from 2 species